ensembl:lncRNA
UCAGAGAUUUUAUUGAUGUCUGCAUAAGAGACGUCAAGUCACGGUCUGAAGCAGUGAUUGAGCACCUGGUGGAAGGCAGGGCCAACCCAGGUGAACGCAAUGCAGCCAAUUAGAAGGGGUGGAGCCAGGAUCCACCCCUUCCCAGACCUCAUUUAAGGGCCAGCAGGGGGAGGAGAAAGAGUGUCUUCUAGAGCUCUCUGCACCCUUGAGGAUUUUACAGGUCUUGUAAAGGCAUUACUGUGCUGAGGCUCGAGGCCUUUUGGGAAGGGGUACCAGCUAUCUUCAAUUUGCAGUAAGAAUGAUACAGCAUAGCCCUGAGAUGAGUCUGGGACUUUCUGAUUCAGCCAAUGCAGCGUGACUGGGUCAGAACCACUGUGCGGUACGGGUAUGAAAUGUUAUUGAGCCCAAACAUAAGAAAUGGUAUGGAGAAUUUCUUUCCAACAGCAGCGUGUGAACAGUGCAAAAACGCCCUUCAGUGGCCCUUUUGUUUUCUAUUGGCAUGUUUGGUGGCUGAGAGAUUUUGCUUACGAAUCUCCCACUCAAACACGAAGAAGGAAGAUAGGUAAGAGUGAGCAUUCUGGACAGACCCACGUCAGGAGACAGGCUUGUUUAAGAGUAUUAAAAUCACCGUUAUCUCAAUGUAACUAGACAGCGAGUGUGCAGUCCCUGGCUAUUUAUAUCUCACAAAUAAGGCGAGCAGACAGCUAAUAUAGCCACGGGCCAGCAGAAACAGAGCAACGAGGUUUAUUAACAAGCCUAGGUGGAUGUGGCGCUCGAUACAUCUGUGUGUGAAAGUAUUUUUAUCAUUUACAUGUUCAAAAAGGUCACGGAAGCUUUAAAUAUGAAAUUAAAUGAAAUGAGACCUUGCUGAAGAUAGCAGGAUCCCUCGGGCGCUUGGGGGCUGUCAGCACCUUAAACGUCAGCGGUGGAGAGAAGUGGACUGUAGCCACUGGGGACUUCAGGCUACGCAGGAAAAAACAACAGUGCCAUCUUUGCAACAGUUGGAGAAAGAAGCUGUGAUUAAAAACAGAAGGCAAUUAUGAACCGAUAGAGAAAAAUAACCACCUAAGUGCGGACUUCUGUGUAUAGACUUUUUGGCAUAGGUCGAAUGGAGUUGUGCUUCAAUUCCUAAAAUAUUGCAAUUGUAGUAAUUGCAUUGGAUAGCGUUAUCUCAAUUCCAUCGACCUGUUGAUCUUUUCAACUGUCUAAUUAGCCAGCAAAUAAGCUUUUGGAGAGGUGUCAGUGGGCUUAAUACACUUGCGUAUCUGUCUUGCAGAGAGAGCUCUGUGCUGUGAAGAUGAAAUGAAAGAAGUAGCCCUGCAUCACCCUACGUUAUGUAUUUUGAUUUACUCUUUUCUUGGAGGGCUGGGUUUCAGGGUUGGAAAUGUUAGCCAUGGCCUGCGUGCUUGCUGAAGCCCAGGAGGGGUCCCGGAAGCAUUGACGACACACACAUCUUGAGCUCUCUAUAGGGAAAGUUGCCAUCCUUUUUCUGUUGUCUUCGGCUAAUAGCAUCACCUUUAAACAUGAUUUUUCUUUGGUGUUUUAAAAAAGUUGAUGAAGAAGCCCGUAUCUUCUCUUAGUUUCAUAACUUUGUUCAGAAACCAAACUGUUGCAGGGGAGGCCUAAGCAGUUCCAGUUUUCUCCUGCACGCUUACAGCCUAGAAGCCUUCAGAAAGGAGGAGGGGAAGAAAGACAAGCAGUAACUUUGUGUUUCCUUCAAAGGCACAGCAACAGCUGCAGUGGUGACUGGUCAUUGUACCUACUGGAUGAUUCCUUGUGUGUGUGAACUGGUGGCCAAUGGGGCAGGGAAAGAUGGACUGUGUGGGUGUCUGUAAAGGGACUGAUCCUUCCAGCUAUGGCUGAGCUAAGGAUAUAGCAGGCUGUUAGCUGACACUGCAAAGUGCAGG